AGCGAACGCUGGCGGCAGGCCUAACACAUGCAAGUCGAACGAACCUUUCGGGGUUAGUGGCGGACGGGUGAGUAACACGUGGGAACGUGCCUUUAGGUUCGGAAUAACUCAGGGAAACUUGUGCUAAUACCGAAUGUGCCCUUCGGGGGAAAGAUUAAUCGCCUUUAGAGCGGCCCGCGUCUGAUUAGCUAGUUGGUUGAGGUAAUGGCUCACCAAGGCGACGAUCAGUAGCUGGUCGGAGAGGAUGAUCAGCCACAUUGGGACUGAGACACGGCCCAAACUCCUACGGGAGGCAGCAGUGGGGAAUCUUGCGCAAUGGGCGAAAGCCUGACGCAGCCAUGCCGCGUGAAUGAUGAAGGUCUUAGGAUUGUAAAAUUCUUUCAACGGGGACGAUAAUGACGGUACCCGGAGAAGAAGCCCCGGCUAACUUCGUG
rnacentral:rRNA from 1 species